AGCUGUGGGUAGUAUUGUUAAACCAAACUGACUAAGAGGUCUUUCUGAAGCCUUGAAUUUGUGCUUUGGGCCUGUAAGGGUGAGAAAGGUUGUAGGAUCCCUUUGCUCCUUGGUGAACGAUGCGCCUCUGUAGAAGUAGGGAAAGCUGAACGUAUGAAGUACAAGUGUGCAAAGCUGCUUAAAAAUUCAUGAGUGAGAGGGCAGCUGGAGCAGAUUGCCUUGGGGUGAGAAUAUGACUACAGCUUGAGCUAGGACUGGAGUUGUGUGCAGUUCUGCUGAUGUGAUGCUCCAGCAGGACCCUCUCUGACUUGCGAAGCAUCUUCCCUGAGGCAGCCUGAAGUUGGAAGAGGUCUGAAGUUAUUAGCUACCUGAGAUCUUCAGUAAGACACAGCUCGUGGGGAAAGCCACGGAUUCAAAAGGAGGCCCCAAAUGGUCCAAAUCAUAGAAUGAUUAAGAUUGGAAAGACCAUUAAAGUAAUCUAGUCCAACCAUCCACCCAUCCCACCAUGCCCAGAAAAACAUAUCCCUCAGUGCCACAUCUCUACGGUUCUUGAAUGUCUCCAGGGACCUCCAGGUGAAUUCACCACCUUCCUGAGCAGCCUGUGCCACUGCACUGCCACUCUUACUGAGAAGACAGUUUUCCUAAUGUCCAACCUGAACCUCCACUGGCACAACUUGAGGCCAUUACCGCUUGUCUUAUCAAAUGCCCACAUUCAGUGCAUUACGCACCUUGAUGCAGGUCCACAGCCAGGGGAAUUACCCUCUGUGCACACUUGAUCACAGAGGAAAAUUGGAUUGAAGAUUUGUGAGCACGGCUGCAUGGACACAGUCGGGGUUAUUUUAAGCUUUUGUGGUAUAAACUGAGUAUCUGCAUUAGCUACUUUAAUACGGCUUCAUUGGCUGUUUUUGUACAUCAGAGAUUCCUGCCCUUUGGUGUAUAUUGUAUCCACCGCAUCUUGCUUUGAGUUGGCAGUAAUCCAUUACUCAGAGAGGAAUGGUAUCACCCUAGGAAAAACAAACCAACAAAAAGACAAAAAACAAAUGCACAAAGGGAAGCCCUAUCUUAAUUAUGGGAAAAUUCAAUGCAGAGUUUACUGUUUUCCUGGUAGGCUGAGGAAGAGUGGCGUAAAUAAGUUUUCUGAGUUAGUGCUGACAUGUGUGGUCCUGAUGAAAUUCAACUUGUGAAUUCCAGCUGUGGUCUUAAACUUUAUUAAACUGCACUGAAAAGAAAACUGAGAGGGUAAAGUAAAAUACUUAGUGGUGCCAUGCAAAACCUGAAAUAUCAGCAUGAGUAUUGGACUGCAGUGCUAUUCACAGUAAAUUUGGUGUGGAAAUCAGCUCUUAGACUUUCCUCUGGCAUCUUUCUCUGCAGAGCUGAUGGUCACUCUAGGACUGUUAGAUACGUGGUGUUUAGCAUCACAUGCUCUGUGCCUCCAUCUCAUUGUGUAUGUUUAACUCCUGUAAACUGUGGUUCGCCGUGGUACAGUACUCACACCUACCCACUGCCAUGCGUCGUCUACUGUAGAUGUUACAGAAGCGCUGCUGUCCGUGACUACUCCAGGUGGGAUCAUGUUAUAGUAACAGCUGUAUUCUGCUCUGAUGUAGAACAUGGUCUCAUCCCACCACCUGCAUCGUGCUUC
ensembl:lncRNA